CCCGCAAUAGAGUUGGCUGGUGUUGUGUUUACGGUUUUGUGACUGCUGGCUUCAGGAAGAUGAAGCUCCUUGUUCAAACAGCAGCCCCUCUAACAGCUCCUGUUAAAAGCUAGGGGAUGCUUCACUGCUUAGACGUGAAUCACUUCCCCCAGCCGCACAGAAGGAAAUCGGGUACCAAUCAAAACGCACAAGAAGUAACUAGUAAGUGAGCAAAUGCAAAGUGCCAGCUCUGCAAUGCGAGUCAGGGGACACAGAGGAACCGCUGGGGCCUGGGGAGCAAGCCCUUCCAGCUGCUGGCCAGCUGCCCUGCCCGGAAGUCUCCCCCGGAGCAUUCAAGGAGCAUGUGUUCUCCUGGCUCUCCUCUGCCUUCCUUCUCCCAGGUUCUG
rnacentral:lncRNA from 1 species